AAAAGAAGUGCUGUAGUUCGAUUAUUUAUUUUAUUGAAACUGUACUGCCUUAGGAACCUCGAAGAAGUCUAGCAACCUGCUCUGCCGUUUCGCACCGUCACUCGGGGCGAAUUUGUACUUCGGUGAUCCGAAGAGUGCAAAGAAGGAAAGUUAGGGAGAAGGAAAGAGUGAAGGAAGGAGUUUGGAAAGCGUAGAAGGAAGACCAAUUAAUUUUGAAGCUGCUACGUAGAGCUGCUGAUCAAAAAUUUGGUUGUUUUAAUUACCACCCGAACAAU
rnacentral:lncRNA from 1 species